UGUGCUCACAGUGUGUGUGUGUGUGUUCACUGCUCUGUGUGUGUGCAUUUCGGAUGGGUUAAAUGCAGAGCACAAAUUCUGAGUAUGGGUCACCAUACUUGGCUGAAUGUCACUUCACUUUAUUCACUCACUUUUAUGAAAAGGCGAGAGCAUUUGCAGAGAGAUUGGAUCCAUUGAAUGACAAGGUUUACUGUCCAUCUGUUGGUGUUGGGCAGACAGUGUACUUGCGCCACCGCCCUGUAGGCAGACACAAGAUACAGGAUUCCUGGGCUCCAGUUGUGUAUCGGGUAGUAGACGUUCAAGGUACCACAUAUACAGUUGCGCCUGUAGAGGGAGGUCCUCAUAAACGGGUCCACAGAGUUGAUUUGCGACCAUGCGAGAGACCUGUGGUUGAGACAGCAGAGGCAGUGAGUAGGGUGACAGCUCCAGCAGCUAAGUUUCCCUCUGAUUCAGUGGAAGCUGAACCUGUUAAACCAGAGUCUGUAAUACUGGAAGAGGUUACUUUGCCUCACCUGGAAGAGACGAGAGAUGUGGAAAUGGAAGUCUCUGGUACAGCAGAGGAAACGUUAGCAGUGGGUCCUGAUUUUGUUCUGGAGAAUGAUGGACAGCUACCCCCGGAGUUAGAGCACAUGGGGGAAGAUGGUAUUGUUCUUGAUGCUGAUAGACCCGUGUCAAAGAAACCGGUCCCUGCAACAAGAAGGACUAGCCGUGUCAAUGCUGGUGUGCAUCAAAACCCAUUUAAUGAACCCAGGUCAGCUUGUAAUUCCGUCUCAAUCUGCCCUGAAGUCUUUUCCCAGGUAUUGACCAGCCUUGGUAGUGUUUCCUUCAGGGAAGCAGUAAAUGAGGUUAGGAACCAGCACUGAAUGUCAUUGAGGACAAUGAUGGGUUUCAGCAGGGGAGAAUGUGGCCAGAGGUAUAAAUACAACAUGUUUUCAAUGGGUGUUAAAACCCGUGUAUGGCCCUUUAAAGAGAUCACCGAUCUCUGCUCGCGAGAUUUCCUGUUUUGCAUGUGCGCGAACAGAACAGCCAUUUUGUGAUGAUUCAAUGUAGCAGCCGAGUGCCAUGUAGUUGUGUUGUGAGAUUUAUUUUGAAGUGAUGCUGUCUUCCGUGGAAACUGAGACCUAUUUGGUGCGAACUUUUGAUGUGUAAUUUGUUGUAGAUGAGAUCGGCUCGAGUGUGAUCCACGUGAACCUCGUGUCUGGUGAUAGUGGAAACUUCCAGUCUUAACCACAGGCUUUGUGAAAUGUUGCUCAUCAAAAGGAGCGUGACAGCAGCUUAUCAUCCUCAAACUAACGCCUGGAUGAAAAGACCAAUUACAACAUUAAACGAGCCCUCCAGAAAUUGGUUAACGACCAACAGAAUGACUGGGAUGUCUAUCUGGAUGCCACCUUUGUUUUCUUUACGAUCCAAGGUACACACCACCACCAAACACUCCCCUUUCUUCUGAUGUAUGGGACAGAAGCAGUGUUCCCUGCAGAGCUUCCUGUUGAAAUGCCCUUGCAGGGCUAUUUUCGUGUCUGUGUGUUUUGGUGGAUGGUGUGUCCGCGUGUCUCUGGUUGUCAGCUGUGGUAAGUCGAUGGCAUUUCUUCCCAUUGUCUUCUAACCUAAAACCACAAAAUUAACAUAUUCAGUAGUGUUAUGACUUUAUAUGCCUAGGACUAUCAUUUAUCCAAUGACAAAAGAUUUGUAAAGACCGAAAUUUAGCGGACAUAACAUAUGCCUUUUUGCCGCUUUUAGGCGUCACAGUGUACAUUUUUACCAUAUGGAAAUUAAAUAUUUAAGUUCUAUAUCUGCCAAUAUUAUAUACGUUUAGUCAUUUCAGCUUUACAAGCUAACUUUAGCUUAGAAAGUGUUCACAUAGCCUAACGUCAGCAGCCGUGCGGGACAAAUUCAGAAAAGGUUUAAAAAAGUAAACUUCAUCAAAUGUAAGCAUUAGGAGAUAAACAGUACUUACGGUAGCUAUAAUGUCUAAUAAUAUAAAAGAAUAAAUGCCUUUUUGACCAAACAAAAGCGAAAACUCAAGGCCGUGUCUGAGGAAAUCACCUGAUGACCAUUAACUGUCACUAGCGGCUGAGCGUUGCCAUGGAUACAUGCGCGUGCCCUAAAGUGACGUCAUUCGGGCAUGUGCUCAUUUGAUCGACAGCUGCUUGGAUCCUAUCUCCAGAGUGGCUAUAUUACUUUUUUAUAUGAGCUCUAUGUAGUAUAGCAGUCUUAAAUGCAAUAACUAAAAUAAUUUAUUUCCUAAAUAACUUUUCUUGUGGGCUUGCCAACAUUUUAUACAAUACAAGUUUAUUUAUAUAGCACAAACAAACAGUUUAAUAUGUAAAUUAAAAUAAUUAAUUAAUUUGUCUUACCCGUGUUAUUUUUCACUUUCUUUUCUUCAUGUUUUCCUUGGCAUUCACUCUAUAACAUUCUAGUAGAGCUCCUGGGAUGCAAACAUAUUUUCUUCAUUCAUGCAUAAACCUAAUUGUAGCUGUGUUCAAUUAUAUUAUUGAAAGGCAUCAUGAUUUUGAUGUUUAAAUGCUGAAAACAGACUCCUGAUUUAAUGACAUUUUUCAUUACAGAAGUUACUCCUA